rnacentral:lncRNA from 1 species
GAGUCAUCAUUAACAAAUGGAUCUGUUUAAGAUUGUUUGAUGUCAGGUAUGGACUUCAAUCAUAUAGUAAAAAGGCAAUAGGAGAGAUACAUGAAACACAAUUUGGCCCUAAAGCAUAUGCUAACAAUGGGGUGUUACUGAUAAGCAACCUUGAUUUGGUAUAUGUGAGACAAGUUGUCAUAUAGUUCUAAGCAUGUUUCUAUAAACUGUUGUAAUUAGGCUAGGGUAAUUUAUAAAGAUGAUGGCCAUAGAACAUAAAUACUCUCUCUGUACACUAAUAUAAGACAUUUUUGCAGUUCAAUUUAAACUGCAAAAACGUCUUAUGUUAGUGUAAAAAGGGAGUAUGAUAUAGAUGAAGUAAACACUGCAUUUUCACACAGAAAUAGUGAUAUUAUGAUUGAACAUAGAUUCAAAGGCGAUAAAUCAUUACUACCGACCAUACUUCAUUGUGCGCCCAUAAUCCACAAAAUCAGAAGCAAACACAUGCUCAAUAGUCUUAAUCAUAAUGAUAGAUUUAAGGGAAAUGACGCACAUGGGUAGCGUUGGAGGAGGCACCCAUAUUUCCUUGAGCAUAUAUUCGACUUUGCGCUGAGCAUCGGUAAUAAGUCUUGCCCUUGAUGCAAUAAUAGCCUUGGCAAUAUUCUAGUUGUAUUCGUCCAUAUCAUCCACCGGCACAUCACUUUCGGUGGUAUCAUCUUCCUCUAGGUUGUCACUAUUGCCAAUUUCACUUAAUACAAUAGCAAAGAACACUUUGUAAGUUGCAAAAUAAAAAAGUAGAAACACGUAAAGCGUGUAGAGGUGGUUGAUGUAGCACGUAUUAACAAAGUAUAUUAAUAGAAAGGUACUGACAGGUGAUUAAUGUAGCGGUAUUAAGAAAAUUCGCCACUUCUAGGCUCCACUUCGGAGCUGUCCGCACC